GAGUUUGAUCCUAGCUCAGGAUGAACGCUGGCGGCGUGGAUAAGGCAUGCAAGUCAAACGCUGGAAGCUGGACUCUGGAAACUAGAAACUGGAAAAGAUACAAUGCGUAUAUGAAAAAUUUUCAAGAUCUUGAUGUUUAUACUCGCGCGAGCAAACUAUUUCCUGUGGUUUAUAAAAUAGUUCGUUCGUGGAAGAUUGUAGACCAAAGAGAACUUGGGAGUCAGAUCAUAAGAGCGUCUAAUUCAAUUCAUGCAAAUAUUGCGGAAGGAUAUGGUAAAUCGUCCCAAGAUUUCAAAAGGUAUCUUGGUAUGGCCAUUGGGUCUUGUGAUGAAGUUAGAAGUCACAUCAAGGAUUCAUUCAAUGUCGGAUUGGUUGGGAAAGAUGUUUACGAACAUCUUAUAAACGAAUACGAGAUUGUAGGCAAACAGUUAAUGCGAUUGAAACAGAAUUGGAAGUAGUCUUUCUAGUAAUCUAAUAUCUAGCGUCCAGCUUCUAGAGUGGCAGACGAGGUAGUAAUAAGUAGGUAACGUACCCCCGAGUCAAGCAUAGCUAGCCGAAAGGUUAGGUAAUUCUUGAUGGUCUCCGACCCGAAAGGUGUUGGAGUAAAGGAGCAAUCUGCUUGGGGAACGGCCUGCUCGAUAUCAGCUAGUUGGUAGGGUAAUGGCCUACCAAGGCAAUGACGUCUAGGGGAGCUGAGAGGCUGACCCCCACCGAUGGAACUGAGAGACGGUCCAUACACCUACGGGUGGCCGCAGUCGAGAAUCUUCCGCAAUGGGCGAAAGCCUGACGGAGCGACGCCGCGUGCAGGAUGAAGUGCUUCGGUAUGUAAACUGCUUUUAGGGAUGAAGAAGUUUAUUGACAUUAGUCCCUGAAUAAGAGGUUGCUAAACUCGUGAACUGUUUGAUUAAGCUCAAACAUUCUCCGCCAAAGGCGGAUCCGCCUCGGGCGGACAAAAUUAGCAUUAAAAACUCGUGCCCCGUACACAGCUCUGCUGUUGUACUGGGGUGUAUAUCGUGCGCGACUUUCUGCCGUAAGGCAGAUCGAAACUUGGCCAUAUGCUGGAAAGCUGUUUAGAGCUGCGCCAAGCACCCUUGAAAAGGUGCUCGGUCCUUAACAGUCAAUCAGCAGGGAAGAUUUGCAUUUUGAAAAAUGGGCGGAUUGGGGACAUGGCGUACCGACAAACCCGUAGUAUCGAGAGGACGCUCUCGGUUAGACGACUGUACGGCGGGACGUAUGUGUCAGAGUUCUACCGAUUCGUUUCAUUAGGGAGGUUCGACUUUCUUCGUCGCUUGAACCUCCCGCCCAUUUUUCAAAAUGCAAGAACCCUCAGAGACUACACGCUAAGCUCCAGCCGUAAUUUGAAAAAUUACAACUGGAUGAAGAUAUAGUCCGAUCCCGGUGGUGACAUCGGAAACGAGGUCAAAAUGACCUUGUUUAACUAAUAAGCUAACUAGCUAAAAAGCUAACAAGCUAAAAAGCUAACAAGCUAAUUAAGGCCAGCAGCAGCGGUAAUACGAGUGCCUCAAGCGUUAUCCGGAAUCAUUGGGCGUAAAGGAUGUGUAGGUGGUUGUGUUAGUCUUUUGUUAAAUUCUUCGGCUUAACCGGGGGCAUGCAAGGGAAACGGCACGACUAGAGGAUGCGAGGGGUUUCUGGAACUCAUAGUGUAGCGGUGAAAUGCGUUGAUAUUAUGGGGAACACCAAAAGCGAAGGCAAGAAACUGGAGCACUCCUGACACUGAAACAUGAAAGCGUGGGUCGCGAAUGGGAUUAGAUACCCCAGUAGUCCACGCCCUAAACGAUCUUCUCUAGCUAUUCGGAGUAUCGACCCUCUGAGUGGCGUAGCUAACGCGUUAAGAGAAGCGCC
rfam:Parcubacteria bacterium GW2011_GWB1_44_7 TW71_C0021, whole genome shotgun sequence.